rnacentral:rRNA from 1 species
AGAAUCAACGCUGGCGGCGUGCCUAACACAUGCAAGUCGAACGAGAAAGUGGAGCAAUCCAUGAGUAAAGUGGCGACCGGGUGAGUAACACGUGACCAAUCUACCCUUGAGUGGGGGAUAACCUCGGGAAACCGGGGCUAAUACCGCAUAACAUCCUCGGGACGGAAGUACUGGGGAUCAAAGGAGCAAUUCGCUUAAGGAGGAGGUCGCGGCUGAUUAGCUAGUUGGCGGGGUAAUGGCCCACCAAGGCAAAGAUCGGUAGCCGGCCUGAGAGGGCGCACGGCCACACUGGAACUGAAACACGGUCCAGACUCCUACGGGAGGCAGCAGUGGGGAAUUUUGCGCAAUGGGGGAAACCCUGACGCAGCAACGCCGCGUGGAGGAUGAAGUCCCUUGGGACGUAAACUCCUUUCGACCCGGACGAUAAUGACGGUACGGGUGGAAGAAGCCCCGGCUAACUUCGUGCCAGCAGCCGC